GGGUACAGCCAAUAGAGGAGAAGAGAUCAUCGGGGCUGAAAAACCUUCAGUUCGCCGGCGAUUGUUCGUCGGAGAACCCUGUUUCCACAGUUCCAUAGAUUUAUCUAGUUGUUAGAUACUUAAACAUCCUACUUCAUCUCACUUGAUGUCUCGGAAACGCAAUGUCAUUGUUGCCACAGGCUUGCUAGUCUUUGCAUCUGCUGGCUUAUCCUUUCCGUUUUACAUGGCGUCAAGAUCAUCAAGGGCAACUCCAGUCAUUGAUUCAUCAAAGCCAUUGCCACCCCAGGCGACAUUUCGUGGCCCUUACAUCAACACGGGAUCGCGUGAUAUUGGACCUGAUCAUCAAACAUACCCUAAGAAAUAACAUCUUUCUUGAUUAGAUAUUAGUUUUGCUAGUUAUUGAAGUCACUCUAGAUUUCCCCUUUUUCUUUCUAUUCAAUGAAAAGAGAUAAUAAUGAGAGUCUGUUGAAACUGGCUCAGGAGAAAUUAGCAUGUUUGAGAGUGAUCCAGGAGCACCCUAGCUGGCCUGGACACCAUUGUUAUCGAAAACUCUGGAGGAAAUUUGCAUGUUUGAGAGUGUGAUCGAGGAGCGUCCUAUCUAGCUUGGACACUACUGUUUCAAGAAAAAUUGUUCUUUUAGAGAUUUUCAGAUAUGUAAGUGUGAUGUUGCUUUAUUGUUCAGAAACAACAAUAUGUAAUAUGCUGCGUGGAACGGGGCUAGAAUUUUCA
rnacentral:misc_RNA from 1 species